CUUAAUGUCGCUUGUCAAAAGAUUUACCAGCGCUUCGUCGUCGCCUACAUCUGUUUCCAUCAGUGCAUUACCUGAGUUUAUUGGUGAUAAAUGCCCACCAAGAGAAUGAUGCAUAUCCCACUUGCUUCACUGAUCGGCCACGUUGGGACUGAGACCCGUCCCAAACUCCUACGGGAGGCUGCAGUAGGGAAUCUUCCACAAUGUGCGAAAGCCUGAUGGAGCAACGCCGCGCGUGUGAUGAAAGCUUUCCGGUCGUAACGCUCUGUUGUAUGGGAAGAACAGCUAGAAUAUGAAAUGAUUUUUGUUUGACUGUACCAUACCCGAAAUGGACGGCUAAAUACGUGCCAGCACCCGCGGUAAUACGUAUGUCCCGUGCGUUAUCCGGAUUUAUUGGGCGUAAAGCCAGCGCAGACGGCUUAUUAAGUCUGAUGUUAAAGCCCGGAGCUCGACUCCGGAAUGGCAUUGGAAACUGGUUAACUUGAGUGCAAUAAAGGUAAGUGGAACUCCAUGUGUAGCGGUGGAAUGCGUAAAUAUAUGGAACAACACCAGUGGCUAAGGCGGCUUACUGGACUGCAACUGACGUUGAGGCUCGAAAGUGUGGGUAGCAAACAGGAUUAGAUACCCUGGAGUCCACACCGUAAACGAUGAACACUAGGUGUUAGGAGGUUUCCGCCUCUUAUUGCCGAAGCUAACGCAUUAAGUGUUCCGCCUGGGGAGUACUACCGCAAGGUUGAAACUCAAAGGUAAUUGACCGGGGACCCGCACAAGCCGUGGAGCUUGUGGUUUAAUUGCGAAGCCACGCGAAGAACCUUACCAAGUCUUGACAUCCUUUGAAGCUUUUAAAUAUACAAAUGUUCUCUUCGAAAACAAAGUGACGGGUGGGGCAUGAGCGUCGUCCACUCCGGUCGUGACAGUUUGGGUUAAUCCCCCAACGACCCCUACCCCUUAUGUUUAUUUGCCCACCUUCCCAUGGGCCCUCUACCCGAACUGCCGGUGUCAAAACGGAAAGAAGGGGGGGAACAAACCUCUAAUCUUCUUUCCCCCUUUUUGACCUGGGGGUAUAAACCUUGCUCCAAGGGCUGAUGCAACGGAAUUUGCCACCCCCCCAUGGUGGAACCAUUCCUCUUAAA
rnacentral:rRNA from 1 species